rnacentral:rRNA from 1 species
GACGAACGCUGGCGGCGUGCUUAACACAUGCGAGUCGAACGGAAAGGCCCUGCUUUUGUGGGGUGCUCGAGUGGCGAACGGGUGAGUAACACGUGCGUAACCUGCCCUUGACUUUGGGAUAACUUCAGGAAACUGGGGCUAAUACCGGAUCGGAGCUCCUGCUGCAUGGUGGGGGUUGGAAAGUUUCGGCGGGUGGGGCUGGACUCGCGGCUUAUCAGCUUGUUGGUGGGGUAGUGGUUUACCAAGGCUUUGACGGGUAGCCGGCCUGGGAGGGUGGCCGGCCACAUGGGGACUGAGAGACGGCCCAGACGCGUACGGGAGGCAGCAGGGGGGAAUAUUGCACAAUGGGCGGGAGCCUGAUGCAGCAACGCCGGGUGCGGGAUGACGGCCUUCGGGGUGUAAACCGCUUUCGGCUAUGACGAAGCGUGAGUGACGGUAAUGGGUAAAGAAGCACCGGCUAACUACGUG